GCCAGGCGUUGUGGCGGGCGCCUGUGGUCCCAGCUACUUGGGAGGCAGAGGCAGGAGACUCGCUUGAGCCCAGGAGUUGGAGGUUGCUGUGAGCUGCACUCUACCCAGGGGGACAGCUUGAGGCUCCGUCUCCAAAAAAAAAAAAAAAAAUAUGGCAUUUUGUGAUAGAGAAUUGCAGAGAAGAUUAAAGAUACCUUUAAAGUUAUCUCCACAUUAAAAUACAGAAGAGCCAUUUCUUUUUUUUUUUUUUUUUUUUUUUUUUUGAGACGGAGCCUCAAGCUAUCCCCCUGGGUAGAGUGCCAAGGCAUCACAGCUCAUAGCAACCUCUAACUCCUGGGCUCAAGCAAGUCUCCUGCCUCAG
rnacentral:SRP_RNA from 1 species